UACGGGGGGGGCAAGCGUUGUUCGGAAUUACUGGGCGUAAAGGGCUCGUAGGCGGCCAACUAAGUCAUACGUGAAAUCCCUCGGCUUAACCGGGGAACUGCGUCUGAUACUGGAUGGCUUGAGUUCGGGAGAGGGAUGCGGAAUUCCAGGCGUAGCGGUGAAAUGCGUAGAUAUCUGGAGGAACACCGGUGGCGAAGGCGGCAUCCUGGACCGAUACUGACGCUGAGGAGCGAAAGCCAGGGGAGCAAAGCGGG
rnacentral:rRNA from 1 species